GACAGAGGGGGCAAGCGUUGCUCGGAAUUACUGGGCGUAAAGGGCGCGUAGGCGGGAUGGCAAGUCGGUCGUGAAAUCCCUCGGCUCAACCGAGGAACGUCGAUCGAUACUGCUGUUCUUGAGGAUUGCAGAGGAGACUGGAAUUCCCGGUGUAGCGGUGAAAUGUGUAGAGAUCGGGAGGAACACCGGUGGCGAAGGCGGGUCUCUGGGCAAUUCCUGACGCUGAGGCGCGAAAGCGUGGGGAGCAAAUGGG
rnacentral:rRNA from 1 species